UGAGGAAUAUUGGGCAAUGCCCGCAAGGGUGACCCAGCAACGCCGCGUGGAGGAUGAAUGUCGUAAGAUUGUAAACUCCUGUUAGAGGGGAAGAAUAGUACCGGUUGGACCGGUAUAUGACUGUACCCUCAGAGAAAGCCCCGGCUAACUACGUGCCAGCAGCCGCGGUGAUACGUAGGGGGCAAGCGUUGUCCGGAUUUACUGGGUGUAAAGGGCGCGCAGGCGGAAUGGAAAGUCAGUGGUGAAAUCCUACAGCUUAACUGUAGAACUGCCUGUGAUACUUUCAUUCUUGAGUUCGGGAGAGAGAGACGGAAUUCCAGGUGUAGUGGUGAAAUACGUAGAUAUCUGGAAGAACACCAGUUGCGAAGGCGGUCUCUUGGUCCGAUACUGACGCUGAGGCGCGAAAGCGUGGGGAGCAAAC
rnacentral:rRNA from 1 species